rnacentral:rRNA from 1 species
ACAGCAGUCGCCACGGUAAUACAGAGGGUGCGAGCGUUAAUCGGAUUUACUGGGCGUAAAGCGUGCGUAGGCGGCUUCUUAAGUCGGAUGUGAAAUCCCUGAGCUUAACUUAGGAAUUGCAUUCGAUACUGGGAAGCUAGAGUAUGGGAGAGGAUGGUAGAAUUCCAGGUGUAGCGGUGAAAUGCGUAGAGAUCUGGAGGAAUACCGAUGGCGAAGGCAGCCAUCUGGCCUAAUACUGACGCUGAGGUACGAAAGCAUGGGGAGCAAACAGGAUUAGAGACCCCUGUAGUCCCUGUCUCUUAUAA